rnacentral:lncRNA from 1 species
CGCGACCAGGAGGGGGAAAGAAAGGGUGAAACCCUACCUGUUCAAUCAAGGUCAAAAUUCAGCAAAUUAAUGGUGGUUCUUGACACAAAUCGAAUGCAUGAGACUGGAUACAACUUAAUCUAAGUAUAUUGAUCAUAAGCAUGAAUAGGAAUCACAUUAGCAAGGACUCGAAAAUGGAAGGUUAACGGGUCAAGCAGAGGCGAGGAAACAAGCGUGAACACUAACGCUCGAGGUAAGUGACUUUCGAUUCACUUCUUAGUAUACAUAUAGAGUUUUCUUGUUAUGGUUGAAUGGGAUGAUUGAUGUAUAUAAAAUGGCCGACAAGUAGGUAUGUAUGAAUGCAUUUAGGAAAAUUACGUAAGUACAU